CGGUAACCUACCCUCGGGAGGGGGAUAACCCCGGGAAACUGGGGCUAAUUCCCCAUAGGCCUGAGGUACUGGAAGGUCCUCAGGCCGAAAGGGACUUAUGUCCGCCCGAGGAUGGGCCGGCGGCCGAUUAGGUAGUUGGUGGGGUAAUGGCCCACCAAGCCGAAGAUCGGUACGGGCUGUGAGAGCAGGAGCCCGGAGAUGGACACUGAGACACGGGUCCAGGCCCUACGGGGCGCAGCAGGCGCGAAACCUCCGCAAUGCGGGAAACCGCGACGGGGGGACCCCGAGUGCCGUGGCAACGCCACGGCUUUUCCGGAGUGUAAAAAGCUCCGGGAAUAAGGGCUGGGCAAGGCCGGUGGCAGCCGCCGCGGUAAUACCGGCGGCCCGAGUGGUGGCCGCUAUUAUUGGGCCUAAAGCGUCCGUAGCCGGGCCCGUAAGUCCCUGGCGAAAUCCCACGGCUCAACCGUGGGGCUUGCUGGGGAUACUGCGGGUCUUGGGACCGGGAGAGGCGGGGGGUACCCCUGGGGUAGGGGUGAAAUCCUAUAAUCCCAGGGGGACCGCCAGUGGCGAAGGCGCCCCGCUAGAACGGGUCCGACGGUGAGGGACGAAGGCCAGGGGAGCAAACCGGAUUAGAUACCCGGGUAGUCCUGGCUGUAAAGGAUGCGGGCUAGGUGUCGGGUGAGCCUCGAGCUCGCCCGGUGCCGUAGGGAAGCCGUUAAGCCCGCCGCCUGGGGAGUACGGCCGCAAGGCUGAAACU
rnacentral:rRNA from 1 species